GAGCACGAGAGCCCCAGUUGGUAGUGGGCCAGGGACCUCGGUGCGGAACAGCGGUUCUUAACUGAAGGGUUAAGAUGAAAUUGAGUGUGGUGGCCAAACUCAGGCUCCCAAGCUCUUUUUCUUCUUAUUGUACCGAGUGAGACACAGAUGGAGAGACAGAGAGGAGAGACACCUGCAGAACUGCUCCACGGCUCAUGAACCUGCCUUCCCCUGCUCCCCUGCAGGUGUGGAGGGCGUGGGAGGAUUGAGCCAGUGUCUUUGCUCAUGGGAAGGUGUGUGUUCUACCAGCCUGCGCGACACUUAUGAUUUUGACCAACCUGGCUUUUAUGUGUUCUGCACUGGGAGGAGCAGGCCUCUGAGGGAGAGUCUGGACACCUGCAGAAAAGGCCAAAGAUAUAGACUGGAGAAUUUCCAAAGGAUGAGAAAUCCAGGACUGGAUCUGAAGAUGGUCCAGUAGGAGAGUCACGUCUUAAGCGAUACUCUCUGAAGAGCUGGGUGAUGGAGGAGUCGUGCCGAAUGUCAGGACUAACAUAGGAGCUGCCUGGCGCCAGCGCAGUUUGUAGUUUGUGUUCCGUUUCCAGACACCAUGGCAACUGGAAGUUUCAGGUGGUGUAAAAUCUGCGCGUACUGCCCAAUCUGAGGACAGGUAAGGAAUAUGAAUGAAGUGCGAUGAGUUUAACCAUCUCACUGAUUCAAUGAGAGGAAUGGUAUUGAAAUGGACUUCUCACCUGACAGUUCCCACAGCUAGGGGUGGGCUGGGGAAGGUGUUAGAAUUGCUGGGGACUGGGUGGUGGCACACCUGGUUGAGCACACAUGUUACAAUGAACAAGGGCCCAGGUUCAAGCCCCCCACCCCCACCUGCUGGGGGAAAGUUUUGCAAGAGGUGAAGCAGUGCUGUAGCUCUCUCUC